ACUCUCAAACAGAAUUCAAAACUUAAUACUGAGAAAUAUUUACAGAGAUAAUAAGAAAAUAGUUGAAUAAUACAAUAUUAAAAACCCUUUAAUGUUUUAGGGAGGUCUGUUUUGGUGCCUGAUCAUAUUUUCUUCUCAGGGGGUUUAAUCGGCCCAGUCAUGUCUUUAUGAAUGGUGUUUUUUGAAACAUACUUUGUGUUGUUGUGAUGUGUUAAAUGAUACUGUUAGCUGGUCCUGUUUUCUUUUGUCCACCUCAUCUAUUUAAGAACUGCAGGCAACAUAUUUUGUUUACUCAUUGUUUACAGGCUAACUAUUACACAACUACGAUGAUGUGAGAACACUGUUUUUGUUUAAUUCUUCAUAUUCUACAUCUGUGUCAGGGCAGAGUAAGACAGCAGGUCCAGUCCAGGUGAGGCUCCAGCUCUGAAAUCAGACAGAGGUGAGGUCAGACCUCUCUCCUCUCCCUCCUCUCUCCAUGUGGAGGAGGCCUAAUGGCCGCCCCCUUACAACAUGACAGCUUCAACUUAAUCCUCAUUAAGCACUGUAACAAUGCAGGAAGUAGCUGCUGCAGUCACGAUUAGACGGGGCUCACUAUUUGGCAGGAAAUGGCUCCUUUCAGCUGCGUCCAAGACACCUCGAGCGUCCCAAAACUUUUCAGUGCUCAGUAACCCUCCUCCUCCUCCUCCUGGUGAACAAGUCUGUCGACACCAGCCGGUGUUAGAGAAUAAAAGAGCAGCGAAGAAGAUUACAGUCUGACGUAAUCAUGUUCGAUUUUAAAAUGUAUUUAUAUGCGAUGAAAACAUAAAUAGAUGCGCUCUCGGAGGGGGUCUGUGCCGACCGGCUGCAUGAGCUCAUGUUCAUACUUGGAAAAACGCUGACGAGCGAGUGUGACAUUUCAAAAUAAGAUGUUUUAUGAGUGUAAAUCAAGACGACUGACAAUAAAAGUCUCGACUCACUCUGCAGGCUGGCAGCUCACUGAAGAGUGAAACCCAGCAGGACCAUCACGCUCCCUGGUGUACUUCACCUGCCUGACGCGUGUCACCUCACGGAAGAACGACCUGCAACAUCUCAGUUCUCCAUCACAGACACCAAACUUCUUGUCUUUGAUUCAGCAUACUGAGCUGAAAACAACCUCUCAGACAGCCGGAUGUGACUGGGUGUGAUCUCAAACACGAGGAGUUUAACGACCUUUGGUGAUCCUGAUCUCCUUCGAAGUCCCCAUGGCCUCUGAGUUGGACAUAUGUGAUAUUCUUCAGUUCACUCAGUUGUUCCUUGGAUGUCAGCUCAAUUCUUUAAGAGCAAUGACACUUAAUACUGCAUAUGAAAUCAAACAAUGACAAUAUCACGACUCAUCUGUUUUGUUUAUUCCACUGUUUUUCACUUCUGCUGUUCAGUCCUGAGGUGAGCCGUGUUACUGACGUCAAGUCAAACUGCAGCACGCUGAACAUCUGCCCGCCUCUGCACCCAUUGCUCCCACUCUUUCCAUGUUUCAUGUAGCUGCAGUUGACUGAAUAUUAAAGGAUCAGUUCAGCCAAAAAUGAAAACGGUCGUUAGCUGCUCACCCUCGUGCUGAUGGAGAGUCGGGUGAAGUUUCAACACAUUUCUGGAGCUCCAUCAAAUCUUUGUUUCCAGAUUCACAACUGAAGAAGAUUUGGGAGAGACAACCCAGAAUCCCCCAAAACAAAACAAAACUCAGCAAAACAACAACAUGAAAUGGCUCCAUACAGCUUGUCUGGUAUAAUCCAAGUCUCCUCUGACGUGUGAUGGAGCUCAUGUACCCACUUCAGAAUACAAUAGAAUAGAUGUUUAUUGUCACUGUUUCAGAAACAACAAAACACAGAUUAGCAGCUCUUGUUUUGACCAAUAAACCUAAAUACUUAAAUAUAAACAGUAUUGAACAAGAUAGAAGUCCUCACAUAUAUACAACAAUAAUACAGUGGAUGGGGUGAGCGCCAACGCUUUGAGCUCAGAUAAUACAGAGAAGAUUUCUGCUUUAAAAAGGUUGAAAAUAACGUGUUUUCAAAUCAAUUUGGGAUUACGGGUCUUCCAAAGACUUGGAUUACGCCAGCUGUUUAUUUUUUUUGUGGACUACGAAACUUCAUCUGACUUUCCGUCGGCAUGUGGUGGGCAGACAAUGACUGAAUUGUCAUUUUUGGGUGAACUUAACCUUUAAUGUCUUACAAAAUA